UACGGGCCUUUACCCUAUUCCACCAAUCUGAAGGGGAAUAACCAGCAGCGGGAUACUGCUUUUCUAGUUCUUUCUCAUCAGGACCAUAGCGACGACCGUAGUAAAGUAAACCACCUCCCGUUAAUCCCAAGAAACCCCAAAAUGCAUAACGAGCCUGCUUUUCUCGCUUUAGCAUCGUUGAACUAGUAUACUCGGGUCCUUUUCCAGGGUCUCCAGUGUAGGACUCAUCAUUCAAACCAUUUAAAUCAAGUAAUUUUAAUGACUCUUUCGCAAGUGAAGAAGUGUCCCGUUUAACUUCUUCUUUUGCGUUUUCGGUGAUUUUUGAUGUGUCCUUUU